rnacentral:rRNA from 3 species
ACAACUUUUAACAAUGGAUCUCUUGGCUCUCGCAUCGAUGAAGAACGCAGCGAAAUGCGAUAAGUAAUGUGAAUUGCAGAAUUCAGUGAAUCAUCGAAUCUUUGAACGCACCUUGCGCUCUCUGGUAUUCCGGGGAGCACACCUGUUCGAGUGU